rnacentral:rRNA from 1 species
UACGGAGGGAGCUAGCGUUAUUCGGAAUUACUGGGCGUAAAGCGCACGUAGGCGGCUUUGUAAGUAAGAGGUGAGAGCCCAGAGCUCAACUCUGGAAUUGCCUUUUAGACUGCAUCGCUUGAAUCAUGGAGAGGUCAGUGGAAUUCCGAGUGUAGAGGUGAAAUUCGUAGAUAUUCGGAAGAACACCAGUGGCGAAGGCGGCUGACUGGACAUGUAUUGACGCUGAGGAGCGAAAGCGUGGGGAGCGAACAGG